GACGCACGCUGGCGGCGUGCUUAACACAUGCAAGUCGAACGGAGUGGCGAACGGGUGAGUCACACGUGGGUGACCUGCCCUGCACUUCGGGAUAAGCCUGGGAAACUGGGUCUAAUACCGGAUAGUGUGGGAUGGGACAGCGGCCAAUCAGCUUGUUGGUGGGGUAAUGGCCUACCAAGUCGGCGACGGGUAGCCGGCCGGGGAGGGUGGACGGCCACAGUGGGCCUGCGACACGGCCCAGACUCCUACGGGGGGCAGCAGAGGGGAAUCUUGCACAAUGGGCGGAAGCCUAAUGCAGCGACGCCGCGUUGGGGAUGCAGGCCUUCGGGUUGUAAACUCCUUUCACCAUCGACGCGGUAGAUGGAGAAGAAGCACCGGCUAACUACGUGCCAGCAGCCGCGGUAAUUC
rnacentral:rRNA from 1 species